GUCGCGGCAAAAUCCGCGACCGGGUUUGGCGACCCGAUAGGAAGGAGGCGCAGUAGCGCCCACACCAUUGCAGGCGCUUUUUUU
rnacentral:sRNA from 1 species